CUAAACUCUAAUUUUGAAUCUGCUGCUUUUACCUGUGUAGCUUUUAGUGAGCCACUUAACCUCUCUGGGCCUCAGUUUCCUCAUCUGUUAAAUGGAGAUGUGUGGUUGUGAAGAUUCAGUGAGAGCAGGCACAUAAAGUGCUGAGCACAGAGCAGCUAUCAUCAUCAUCGUCUAUGGAACCCUCCAGAAAGAUCAGAGCUGAGGUGCUUGUUACAAAAGAUUUGGGUGCUAGUGGGAUAUUCUCUGCAAUUAAAAGGAGGCAUUCGAGGCACAUGUUAUGCUACAGGAAGAACAAAGCAGGCACGACUUGUUGGCCGGCAUACAUGGCCCAUGUUAGGUUGUCACCCAUUACACAUCUCUGUGAGGCUCUCAGCUGCCUGAGGAAGUGGACACUUCUCAGCACCCCCUGGAAGAGAGCUGCUGCCUGACCCAGAGGGAGCCCCCCACUCCCGCCCAGGAUGAGUCAAAGGCGAGGAGUGGCUGCCCUGCCAGGGAGGAGGCACCCGGCCGUGGAGACCCUCCAAAGACCUUAUCAACUCUGUGAAUUUUAAAAACACACACACACACCCCAGCCAGAUGAACAUCCCAGCCAGACUAAGUAGUCCUUCAAAUAUAGAAAACAUGAAAAUACAGCUGUUCUUCCAUUAUUACCAAAGCCGGCGGCUUUCCAAGUUAUAGAGAGAACUAUGCAAAUAAGCAUCAUCGGGUUCUCUCAGUGGAUAUGAUUUGACAACAAAAAUUGCCAAACUUAUAGUUAAGUUAGGCCUUUAUGAUGGGGUUUCAAUGUUUGGUUAAACCUCACUAAUUCAGCUUUCAUUAUAAAGGGGAGGGCAGUCUGAAGGAUAGAAAAUGUUCAGUGGAGUGCAGCAUAUUACUGGUAAGUGCCUACAGAUGCUCAAAGGGCUAAAAAGACGUGUCUGAGAGGAGGAGGACUCGGGCACAUUCUCUGUGCAGGAAAGGAGCCUGCCAUUAGCUCAGCCACUGUUUAGGGAUAAACAGAGGUUCAUGCCCAAUCGUGAACAUUUAAAGCGUUUGUUCCAGGGGGUUCUGGAGGUCCCAGCCAGGACAGAGCCUCUCCGCCCCACCAAACAUUUCACCACAUGGUUCCUGGUUAUCAGAAUUGGGACUCAGGGGAUGGAUUGAACCAGGCCCAGCAAGACUCAGCUGCCACAGUGUUGGCCCCCAGUGGAAGAGAAUCACAGCCCUGCUUCCCUUUUCUCUCUCCAGACCCUGUUGGCUUAUGCAGAAGCAGUCGGUGUACUGGGUCUCUUCCUGUGUCCCAUUUAAAGCAAUUCACUGUCCACAGGUGAUUUAAGUCCUGUCACAUUGUAACAGUUCUUGAGUGGGUUUGUUGGUUUGUUUUGUUAUUAUUGCUCCUAUCCCUACCCACACCCCCACAUCAGAACUGGUGUCAAGAUCAGGCCAAUCCUAAGGAAACCGAUAACAGAGAACUAACCAGUUUAUUAACUAGGGCCGGGAAGGGGCUUGUAAGGCCUGAGAGCUGUGGUAACACUGGCCAUGAGGAGCCAUGCCAAAAGCUAGGAGG